rfam:Myotis davidii contig56512, whole genome shotgun sequence.
GGCGGUUCUCAGGUGAUGCACCCCAGAAUUGGGCUCCCUCCUCUCUGGUUCUGGGUGUGUCACCCAAGAACCGCA